GAUGAAGAACGUAGCGAAAUGCGAUAAGUAAUGUGAAUUGCAGAAUUCAGUGAAUCAUCGAAUCUUUGAACGCACAUUGCGCCCGCCAGCACUCUGGCGGGCAUGCCUGUCCGAGCGUCAUUUCAACCCUCAGGCCCCCCGGGGACUGGUGUUGGGGAUCGGCCCGCCCUGGCGCGGCGCCGUCCCCGAAAUACAGUGGCGGUCUCGCUGCAGCCUCCCCUGCGUAGUAGCACACCUCGCAUUGGAGAGCGGCGCGGCCACGCCGUGAAACCCCAACUUCUGAUAGUUGACCUCGGAUCAGGUAGGAAUACCCGCUGAACUUAAGCAUAUCAAUAAGCGGAGA
rnacentral:misc_RNA from 1 species